rnacentral:rRNA from 1 species
AUUGAACGCUGGCGGCAUGCCUUACACAUGCAAGUCGAACGGUAACGGGCCUUCGGGUGCCGACGAGUGGCGAACGGGUGAGUAAUGCAUCGGAACGUACCUUUCAGUGGGGGAUAACGUAGCGAAAGUUACGCUAAUACCACAUAUUCUGUGAGCAGGAAAGCAGGGGAUCGCAAGACCUUGCGCUGAUUGAGCGGCCGACGUCAGAUUAGCUAGUUGGUGAGGUAAAGGCUCACCAAGGCGACGAUCUGUAGCGGGUCUGAGAGGAUGAUCCGCCACACUGGGACUGUGACACGGCCCAGACUCCUACGGGAGGCAGCAGUGGGGAAUUUUGGACAAUGGGGGCAACCCUGAUCCAGCCAUGCCGCGUGAGUGAAGAAGGCCUUCGGGUUGUAAAGCUCUUUCGGCCGGGAAGAAAUCGCACAGGCUAAUACCUUGUGUGGAUGACGGUACCGGAAUAAGAAGCACCGGCUAACUACGUGCCAGCCGCCGCGGUAAUAC